rnacentral:rRNA from 1 species
CAGUCGCCGCGGUAAUACGUAGGGUGCAAGCGUUAAUCGGAAUUACUGGGCGUAAAGCGUGCGCAGGCGGUUAUAUAAGACAGAUGUGAAAUCCCCGGGCUCAACCUGGGAACUGCAUUUGUGACUGUAUAGCUAGAGUACGGCAGAGGGGGAUGGAAUUCCGCGUGUAGCAGUGAAAUGCGUAGAUAUGCGGAGGAACACCGAUGGCGAAGGCAAUCCCCUGGGCCUGUACUGACGCUCAUGCACGAAAGCGUGGGGAGCAAACAGGAUUAGAUACCCCGGUAGUCCCUGUCUCUUAUAC